AACGAACGCUGGCGGCGUGGAUAAGACAUGCAAGUCGAACGGGAUUACUGGUGUAACAAUACAUCAGUAAUCUAGUGGCGUAAGGGUGCGUAACACGUGGGGAAUCUGCCGAGAAGUGGGGGAUAGCUCGCCGAAAGGCGAAUUAAUACCGCAUGUGACUACCAGAGACAUCUUUGGAACGUCAAAGCCGGGGCGAACCUGGCGCUUCUUGAUGACCCCGCGGCCUAUCAGCUAGUUGGUAAGGUAACGGCUUACCAAGGCUAUGACGGGUAGCUGGUCUGAGAGGACGACCAGCCACACUGGAACUGAGACACGGUCCAGACACCUACGGGUGGCAGCAGUCGAGAAUUUUUCUCAAUGGGGGAAACCCUGAAGGAGCGACGCCGCGUGGAGGAUGAAGGUCUUCGGAUUGUAAACUCCUGUCAUUUGGGAACAAUUGCUACGCGUUAACUGCGCGGAGCUUGAUAGUACCAGAAGAGGAAGAGACGGCUAACUCUGUGCCA
rnacentral:rRNA from 1 species